rnacentral:rRNA from 1 species
GACAGAGGGUGCAAACGUUGCUCGGAAUCACUGGGCGUAAAGGGCGUGUAGGCGGACAUGUAAGUCGGGCGUGAAAGCCCUGGGCUCAACCUGGGAAUUGCAUUGGAUACUGGCAGGCUAGACUGCGGUAGAGGGUAGUGGAAUUCCCGGUGUAGCAGUGAAAUGCGUAGAGAUCGGGAGGAACACCAGUGGCGAAGGCGACUACCUGGACCAGCACUGACACUGAGGCACGAAAGCGUGGGGAGCAAACAGG